UCUGACUGACUCUGGUCUAACUUGGCUAACUCUGGUGCAGUGCUCCCUACUGGUCUCUGCGGUUCCUCUGGUCCGUUCCUACACAGGUGGACUCAAAUGAGGGACCAAACUAGCUCAAGCACAACUCUAAAAAACUCCCAAAACCCCCUUCAAAGGUCCUAAAACAAUCACAUAAAGCAUGCAAAAGAAGACUGGACAGGGCACUUUCGGCGGCAGGUUCGGCGGCCGAAAGUCCCUUCCAGAGACGAAACUCAAGCACCUUCGGCGGCCGAACUUUACUUUCGGCAGCCGAACCCUUUCGGGGGCAAGGUUCGGGGGCUGGAAGGCACUCCAGAGAUGAAAGUCUCUAACCUUCGGCUGCACCUUCGGCGGCCGAAACUCCGCUCCAGAGCCGAAAGUCCAAACCUUCGGGGGCGAGCUUAGGCAGCCGAAACCACCUCCUUAGCAUGUUCGGCGGCCGAACCUUCCUUCGGCGGCCGAAACUGGAUUUUCCAGUUAGGCAGAACCUUGUUCUGCUUCAUGCAAACGUGCCCAAACUUCUCUCAAACAUGCAACCAACAAAACCACAACCUGCAUAUACUCAAGUACAUGCACAAAGGGGUCUCAAACUACCUUAAAACCCCAAACAACAACAUCAAAACAUCACCUAAGCAUGCUGUUACCCAAAACUCACAUAAAACCUACUUAACCUAAACAUGCAUAUCUACCCAACCCACUUGCAUAAAACUUGCUUAAAACAUUAAAAGAUGUCAGGAAACUUCACUUACCUCUGGUAAGCGAGAGAAUGAAGGGUCCUAACGUAGAGAUAUGGGGAAAACACUCCUCAAGUCUCCAAACUUCACAUCUUGGGUUUUAUGCUCAAAAACUUCCAAAAUAACAAAAAUCUUGUUAAAACCUUGAAAGAUUUGAAGAAGAUCAUAAAAGUCAACUUGGGGAGAGUUUGGGCUCACCUCUGGCUGAAGGUGGAAGCAAAAUAUCAUCCUUCCAUCGACUUGGGGCCUUUUAUAGGUGGCUAGCCAGACCACCUUCGGCAGCCAAACGUGAAUCCGAAACCAUGCAAGGUUCGGCGGCCGAACUUGCUAUUUUCUCCCUCAUUAAAACAAGUUAAAACACGUGAGAAAAACAUAUGUACUACCUUUCUAGAGGGUUCCGACACCCGAGAUUCCACCGAAUUACAGGAAUUUCGAUGCCGGACUCUAGCCGGGUAUUACAUUCUCCCCCCUUUAAGAACAUUCGUCCCCGAAUGUUCCUCACACACUAAACACAUAAAAAGAGAGGAAAACUAAUCUUAAAACAUAUAUGGAUAUUGCUAGAGCAUAGACUCCCGUGUCUCUCAGGUGCACUCUUCUAAAUUGUGGUGGUUCCAUAGGACUUUCACCAUUGAAAUUUUCUUAUUCCUUAGCUGUCUGAUUUGUGUGUCAAGGAUCCGCACUGGCUGCUCUAUAUAGGUGAGAUCUCCAAGGAUCUCUACUUCAGGUUCACUAAGAACCUUACUCGGAUCUGACACGAACUUCCGUAGCAUAGAAACAUGGAACACCGGGUGAACUCUUUCCAUAGAAGCAGGUAAAUCCAGCUUGUACGACACAUUCCCAAUCUUUUGCAAGAUCUCAAAGGGUCCAAUGUACCGUGGAGCUAGCUUACCCUUCUUUCCAAAACGAACCACUCCUUUCAUUGGAGACACCUUCAGCAAUACCAUAUCACCUUCCUGAAACUCUAUCUGCUUUCUACGGAUAUCUGCAUUGCUUUUCUGUCUGCUCUGAGCAGUCUUGAUCCUCUCUCUGAUCAUGGGCACCACUCUGCUGGUGAUCUCAACUAACUCCGGCCCUGCAAGAGCCGCCUCUCCUACUUCUUCCCAGUAAACAGGUGAUCUGCACUUCCUUCCAUAUAAAGCUUCAUAAGGGGCCAUCCCGAUGCUAGCAUGAUGGCUGUUAUUAUAAGCAAACUCCACCAAAGGUAGAUGCUGCCUCCAAGAACCGCCAAAGUCUAACACACACAUUCGGAGCAUAUCCUCUAUGGUCUGGAUGGUCCUCUCUGAUUGUCCGUCAGUCUGUGGAUGGAAAGCAGUGCUGAAAUCCAACCUUGUGCCCAUCGCACUCUGCAGACUCCGCCAAAAUCUGGAGGUGAACUGAGGUCCUCUGUCUGACACUAUAGACAUUGGGACUCCAUGCAACCUUACGAUCUCCUCUAAAUAAACCUGUGCUAACUUAUCCACAGAGUAGUUGCUCCUAACAGGGAUGAAAUGAGCAGAUUUCGUCAGUCUGUCCACGAUCACCCAUAUGGAGUCUACCCUGUUGGACGCUGCCGGUAAGCCCAUUACAAAAUCCAUAGCUAUGUUCUCCCAUUUCCAUUCUGGAAUCGGCAGUGGGUUAAGCAUUCCAGCCGGCUUCUGAUGUUCUAGUUUCACCCUCUGGCAAACUUCACAGGCGGACACAAACUGUGCCACUUCUUUCUUCAUAGCUGUCCACCAAUACACUCUUUUCAGAUCCUGAUACAUCUUGGUGGCUCCAGGGUGAAUACUGUACCUUGCAUUAUGAGCCUCCCUCAUAAUGUCUCCUUUCAGGUUACUGUCAUCUGGUACACAUAGUCGAUUCCCAUAGUGGAGGAUCCCUUUGCUGUCAAAUCGGAACUCUGCACUGUUGCCUGACUGAACAGUCCUGGCAAUUUUCACUAACUCAGGGUCCUCAUGCUGUUUCUGAGCCACUUGCUCCAAAAACACUGAGGUCACUUUCAUUUGUGCUAUCAAUGCACCUGUACCAGAUAACUCUAGCUGUAGCCCUUCGUCGAUGAGCUUAUAAAACUCCAUCACCACUGGUCUUCUCUCUGCUACUAUGUGGGACAAGCUGCCAAGUGAUUUCCGGCUUAGGGCGUCUGCCACAACAUUCGCCUUACCCGGAUGGUACUGGAUCUUACAAUCAUAAUCACUGAGCAGUUCUACCCACCUUCUCUGCCUCAAAUUCAGCUCUUUCUGACUCAAGAUGUACUGUAAACUCUUGUGAUCUGUGAAGAUCUCGCAUUUAACCCCAUACAGGUAAUGCCUCCACAUCUUGAGUGCAAAAAUAACUGCUGCCAUUUCAAGAUCAUGGGUGGGGUAAUUCAACUCGUGCUUCUUCAGCUGUCUAGAAGCAUAAGCAAUCACCCUGUCAUUCUGCAUCAGAACACAACUCAAUCCCACUCUGGACGCAUCACAGAACACUGUGAAGUCCUCAUUACUGACAGGCAGAGCUAACACCGGUGUUGAUGUUAAUCUUCUCUUUAAUUCUGCAAAGCUCUCUUCACACUGGUCUGACCAUACGAACUUCUGGUUCUUCUGGGUCAGUUUGGUCAUAGGAGCAGCUAUCCUUGAGAAGUUCUGAACGAACCUCCUAUAGUAACCUGCCAAACCCAGAAAGCUUUUAAUCUCUGUCACUGAGGUGGGUCUAGGCCAGUUAGCUACAGCUUCUAUCUUCUUGGGGUCUACCUCAAUACCUUCGGCUGAUACAACAUGUCCCAAGAAGGAAAUGCUCCUCAACCAAAACUCACUCUUAGAGAACUUGGCAUAUAAACCAUGCUCUCUUAGAGUCUGCAGAACUGUCCUCAGAUGCUGGGCAUGCUCCUCUGCAUCUCUGGAGUACACUAAGAUAUCAUCGAUAAAGACAAUCACAAAGUGAUCCAGAUACUCACUGAAAACUCUAUUCAUGAGAUCCAUGAAUGCUGUAGGGGCGUUAGUCAACCCGAACGGCAUUACUAAGAACUCAUAAUGCCCAUAUCUGGUUCUAAAAGCUGUCUUUGGCACAUCUGCUUCUCUGACUCUCAACUGAUGAUACCCGGAUCUCAGAUCUAUUUUAGAGAAACAACCUGCUCCAGCUAGCUGGUCGAAUAGAUCAUCGAUCCUAGGCAGGGGAUACUUAUUCUUGGUAGUGACCUUAUUCAACUGUUGAUAGUCGAUACAAAGUCUGAGAGAUCCAUCAUUCUUUCUAACAAAAAGCACUGGAGCACCCCAAGGUGAGGUACUAGGGCGGAUGAAACCCUUAUCUACCAAGUCCUGCAACUGCUCCUUCAGCUCUUUUAACUCUGCUGGCGCCAUCCUGUAGGGAGGAAUAAAGAUAGGUCUGGUACCAGGCAGCACUUCUAUUGCAAACUCAAUCUCCCUAUCAGGUGGUAGUCCUAGAAGCUCGUCUGGGAAAACGUCUAGAAACUCUCGAACUACAGGAACUGAGGCUAGUUCCCUAACCUGUCUAUCUAGCUCUCUCACAUGAGCUAGAAACCCCUGACAACCCCUCUUAAGCAAACGACGAGCCUGAAGGGCUGAGAUCAAACCUCUAGGAGUACCCCUCCUAUCUCCUCUAAAGACACAUGCUGACCCAUCCUGGUCUCUGAGACUAACUACUUUGUCUCUACAGUCCAAGGUAGCUCCAUAUGUAGAUAACCAAUCCAUCCCUAGAAUGACAUCAAACCCCGUCAAAUCUAGAACCACUAGGUCAGCUGGAAGGCAUCAACCCUCUAUGACCACUGGACUGAAGCGACAGACGGACACUGCCACUGAUGGGUCACAUUUGGGUCCACUGACCCAGAGAGGACACUCCAACUCAGAAAUGCUCAGACCCAACCUUUCAACGGCUCCAGAAGUAAUAAAGGAAUGAGAAGCACCGGGGUCCAUCAAAGCAUACACAUCAGAACACCCAAUUAAGAGAUUACCUGACACCACAGUGUUCGACGUGUUUGCCUCCUCUUGUGUCAUAGUGACUACCGGACCCUCACCUCGGGAACCUGCCGCUGAAGAAGAAGCUGACCCUCUUCCUCUGCCUCUGCUCUGAGGCAUGGCUGGAGCUGCUGGCUGUGCCACACUGCCUGAGCUCAUCUGCUGGGAUGGUGCCAUAAAGGUCAACUGAGGACAUUCCCGAGCAAAAUGUCCCUCAUGUCCACACUUAAAGCAGGCUGUAGAUCCCAUACGACAAACUCCUUUGUGCGGCCUUCCACAUUUCAUGCACACUGUACUGCCUGUGCCAGAGCUUGAGCCACUACCUAUUCCCAGACUAGACUUGAUCUUAUUCCAGAACUUGCCCUUCCUACCUUUAAACUUUUCUCCCUUCUUGCUGCCAGAAGUUGCUGCACUGGGGGUCUUCGAACCCAACGACUGUGCCCUUUGCUGUUUAACUGUGCCCUGAAUAAUGGCACUCGCCUCCAUCUUCCUGGCGGCAUCUACUAUAGAGUGGAAACUCUCUUUCUCUGCUGGAAGAAUCAAGGAGGAAUACCUGGGAUGCAGUCUCAUGGUAUAUCUCCUUGCCUUCUUCUGGUCAGUGUCAUAAGUCUGACCCACAUACUGAAGCAGAUCCAGAAACUUAUCGGUGUAUUCAUCUACACUCAUCUCCUCGGUCUGCCUCAAUUGCUCACAUUCUAUCACUUUUAGCUCUCGGGAACUGUCAGGAAAAGCCCACCCUGCAAACUCAUUGGCGAACUCUCCCCAUGACAUGCUGUCCAACCUGGGGUCCACAUAAUUCUUGAACCACUCUCGAGCCUUCUUACAUUUCAAUGUGAACCCUGCCAUCUCAAUGGCUCUGCUAUCAUCAGCUCCUAACUCAUCGGUUAUCAUCUUAACUGUUCUGAGGUACUCAAAGGGAUCAUCUCCCGUAUUGAAUUUAGGAGCAUCCAACUUUAGGUACUCUGUCAUUUUCACUUUACUUCCCUCAGUUGAGCUAGGUUGAGGUGCUGGAACAACUAGGGCUACUGGUUCUGGUUACUUGGCUCGGGGUAUGCUGUACUAGGAUGGAAAGGUGUGGGUGGAUACAUGGGAUAUGGUGGGUAAAAAGGAGGAUAAGGCAUAUAAGGCAUGUAGGUAGGAUAUGGGGGAAAACUAGAGUAAUCCGACGUACCCCCAUCGGAUACCCUGGGCCCUGUGGAAAGGGUGGAUAACCAAACCCCGAGGCCUGAGCGCCUCCCUGAGACUCUCCCAUACCCUCGUCAGACCUGCCCAUACCCAUGCUUUCCUCUCGUGACUAAUCCACAUCCAUAGCCUCCCUCACCUCCUCUGAGCUCCCUCCUCUAUCCGCUCCUCUUCUACUCUCGUCAAAAGACCUUCUAGGGUCCCUUGACGUACCCUCCCUACUUGAUCUCUGAGACCUUGCCCUUGGCAACGCAGGAGUACGAGCAUCUGAGCCCUCAUUCACUGGUGGGACUCCAGUCAAUCGUGCAGAUCGACGAGUUCCUCUCAUCUUAACUUUCUGGAAAACAACAUAACAGCACACAUCAGCAUAGAACAUUACAUAACAACAAAGCACAUGCAUAACUCAUGGCAUUACACUUCAGCAAUUAGACAGGACUCAACAUCCUAUCCUAGUGGACGUGCUUUCCUAUUGUGCUUGACCUACUCCAACCUCUAUGAGCCCGACACGCUCUAUCUAGGUCCGACCAUAUAAAUCUAGGACUCUGAUACUAAUCUGUAACGACCCGGAAAUCCGGACCGCUACCGGCGCUAGGAUCCAGAUCGGCUUAAGGCCGCCAAGACCCGUAGCAAGCCUGCUAUACUAUCUGGGUACCUGUAAAAUCCCAUACAUGAUCAAACAUAACCUGUAAACAUGAAAAACUCAAUCCUGUCCCAUGGUUCACCCUAUGCAUGCACUCACUCAUUAAAGCCCUGGCUGAGUCCACACAGUAUAUGUUAAACCUGGUCAGCCACACUCAGCAACUAGACAUAUCCAUAAAACAGACCAUGUAUACAUAAGCGGGAUUUACAUCACAUAUGGAUCAAGCACAAAACUAUACAUAGCUCAUUAUAAGUUUUACAUCUCUUUACAAUUUUACAUGUCCACACUAAUCUAUUACACAUCUCUUUACUCUUUCUGACCUCUGCUGAUCCUCCCCUGACCUCUGAGCCUGCAAAACUGGGGUUAAGGGGAAGGGGUGAGCUAUAAAGCUCAAUGAGUAGAAACAAAGAAAACAGUUUAUUAGUGACAUGCUCUUAUGAAUGCGUCACAGCACAAACAUUUCAUAGCACGGAUGGACAUGACCACCAAAACUCCCUCCUGUGUCAGUAUGCCUGGCCCGGCCAGGUCUUAUAACCCCUGUAUGCCUGGCCCAGCCAGGUCUUACAACAUCCGUAUGCCUGGUCCAACCAGGUCUUACAACAUCUGUAUGCCUGGCCCGGCCAGGUCUUACAACAGCUCUAGGGCUAUUGGGGUCGCCUUGGUCCAUCCACAUCAUCAUAUUCAUCAUAUUAUACAAUGCGCCAUAUUCGUGAAACUAGUGCAAUCAACCUACUAUAAUCCUUAUGAUGCAUGAACAUGCUUUAGGCAUUCGAUGUCUUUUAAAAAAAAAACUAAAAGAUUAAGUCUAGUUCUACUCACCUCUGGCUGACUCUGGUCUAACUUGGCUAACUCUGGUGCAGUGCUCCCUGCUGGUCUCUGCGGUUCCUCUGGUCCGUUCCUACACAGGUGGACUCAAAUGAGGGACCAAACUAGCUCAAGCACAACUCUAAAAAACUCCCAAAACCCCCUUCAAAGGUCCUAAAACAAUCACAUAAAGCAUGCAAAGGAAGACUGGACAGGGCACUUUCGGCGGCAGGUUCGGCGGCCGAAAGUCCCUUCCAGAGACGAAACUCAAGCACCUUCGGCGGCCGAACUUUACUUUCGGCAGCCGAACCCUUUCGGGGGCAAGGUUCGGGGACUGGAAGGCACUCCAGAGACGAAAGUCUCUAACCUUCGGCGGCCGAAACCCCGCUCCAGAGCCGAAAGUCCAAACCUUCGGGGGCGAGCUUAGGCAGCCGAAACCACCUCCUUAGCAUGUUCGGCGGCCGAAC
rnacentral:lncRNA from 1 species